rnacentral:rRNA from 1 species
UACAGGGGGUGCAAACGUUGCUCGGAAUUAUUGGGCGUAAAGCGCGCGUAGGCGGCCACUUAAGUCGGAUGUGAAAGCCCCUGGCUCAACUGGGGAAGUGCACCCGAAACUGAAUGGCUUGAGUGCGAAAGAGGGUCGCGGAAUUCCCGGUGUAGAGGUGAAAUUCGUAGAUAUCGGGAGGAACACCGGUGGCGAAGGCGGCGACCUGGGUCGACACUGACGCUGAGACGCGAAAGCGUGGGGAGCAAACAGG